UUUACAUUUGAGUGAGUGGCGAGCGUGGUGAAGUAACACGGUACGGGAACCUGCCCAGAAGCGGGGGAUAACACCUGGAAACAGAUGCUAAUACCGCAUAACAACUUGGACCGCAUGGUCCGAGUUUGAAAGAUGGCUUCGGCUAUCACUUCUGGAUGGUCCCGCGGCGUAUUAGCUAGAUGGUGAGGUAACGGCUCACCAUGGCAAUGAUACGUAGCCCGACCCUGAGAGGGUAAUCGGCCACAUUGGGACUGAGACACGGCCCCAAACUCC
rnacentral:rRNA from 1 species